GGAAAGUUUCUGGUAUUACCGACCGACUGUUUGUUAUUGUUAGUUAGAUUUCCCGACCGACCGUUUGUCAUAAGUUUUCCUGACAAACAAUCGGUCGGCGAUACUGACUUUUUUCAACACCCGUCUGUAAGGAAUGCCGUGUCGUGGUGUAGGGCGGAGGAGCCAUGCUCCAUCAACUCCGACGAGGCCAACCAACGCCGAUCCACAAACCGUCUCUGUCUCCGAAGAAGGCCCCCUGCCCUCUCGUCCCGGUCCACAGGACGCCACGUUGUCGACAGGUAAAGCCGCUCACCGCCAAGUGGAAGGUCGAUCGGAACCAACUGGAUGCCCAGGAGAAGACUACAAGCCCGGCCACCUCACCUCGCACCGUCAGAUCCCAUGUCUCACCAUUACCGUAGUCCGGAUCAAUGUCAACCGUAAGUAGCCGAGCAGGAGCAUCACUGAAAAAGACCGCCCACCUCCUGUGAAACCUCGACCACCCCUCUGCCGACCAAAGGUGGUGCCUUCAAGAAGGAAAACAAAGCCGAUGCGCCAUCACCACCCAACCGGAGACUUUGGGCUUUCACCCAGGUCGCAGAGGAAGAGGGUGCGGGAAGGGCCUCGAUGCCGCCACGAGAGGAGAGCCAUGCCG
rnacentral:lncRNA from 1 species